GAUGAAGAACGUAGCGAAAUGCGAUACGUAAUGUGAAUUGCAGAAUUCAGUGAAUCAUCGAAUCUUUGAACGCAUAUUGCGCUCUCAGGUAUUCCGGAGAGCAUGCUUGUUUGAGUAUCAGUAAACACCUCAACUUCCAUAUCUUUUUUUAAAUGGGAGUUGGACUUGAGUGAUCCCAACGCUUUUCCUCACCGAAAAGUGGCGGGUUACUUGAAAUGCAGGUGCAGCUGGACUUUUCUCUGAGCUAUAAGCAUAUCUAUUUAGUCUGCCUAAAAAACAGAUUAUUACCUUUGCUGCAGCUAACAUAAAGGAGAUUAGUUCUUGUGCUGACUGAUGCAGGAUUCACAAAGACAGCUUCGGCCGACUUUGUAAACUCGAUCUCAAAUCAAGUAAGACUACCCGCUGAACUUAAGCAUAUCAAUAAGCGGAGGA
rnacentral:misc_RNA from 1 species